GCUGUAACGCAAAUUUAUUUUGGAAUAAGUCAAGGGGUAUGAAUCAUUUCUGAAGGCACUGUAUAUCGUCAGUUAUGUGUCCAAUAAUGUUGGCCUAUGUGGUUGUGUCCCUUGUCACUCCUGCUACAUUACAGCAGUGAUCCACUAAAUGGAUAGCCAAGCUAGCUUCACCCUCUUGUCGGUACUAGCAAGCACGCUAGGUAGUGCUAGGUAUCAACAGUCAAUCUAGUAGGUGCUGGAAACUAUAGUGAGCUUCCAUUGGUCAAUAGCAACGCGAUGUAGCGGAGAACAACUUUAGUCCACUCUUUCGCCCAUGCUUGCAUCGACCAAUGGUCUUCCGCCCACGUCCCUUCUUUUAAUUGAAAAUGAAUCGGGUUCCGUUGUUUCAUAGCCCCCAGCGUGUUAAAUCAAACCAAAUGCUAGAUGUAUUUCUGCUGUUAGGUUAGUCGCUUGUCAACAUGGUAUAACUAUUAGCUAACUUAUGUACAGUAGCUAGUUAACAUUUUCAGUUAACAGUAGGCAUCAGGGAAGAGUAACUGUUGACCCAGUGUCCCCCAGUCCUGUCUUACCAUCUCCAACCAUAGGUGCGGAAUGAUAGGAGUUGGCAAGACAACACAAACAGAUCUGGAGCCAGGCAAUGUUGUGCCAUUUCAAACUAUCUUCCUACAAAUAUAUCUAUGUGGUGCAAUAACAGAACCAAUUGGUGUGCCUGAGUCUUAUCACCGUUCAACUAGGUUAGCUGUUUCAACCUGGAACAUUAUUCUCCUGCUUUGGUCAGUUGUCAUUGCAGGAAGUCCUGAAGAGCAGGAGUGUGUGUUAAAUGUUUUGUUCCAGCCCAGCUCUAACACCUGACUUAAAUAAUCAACCUGCCGAAUUACGACAAUAGGCUAUGAUUUUUAUUAAGGACAAGCUUAUACACACUCAUCCCAAGGGUCCCAGUAUAUAUACACACUCAAGUCUCCAAUGGUCCCAGUACUGGUUGAUGUGCAGGCCUAGGUGACCACACACAAACGGAUCUACAGCUGUGACACGUGACGACCUCGAUUUGAACACCGCAACUGAGAUGGAAUGACGUUGAUGGACACACACUGAGACCACGAGUAUGACUGGACAUGGGACGGAUUUUUGUGAAGACCUAAAAGGGGUGCAAAAGCACACCAACUUAUUUUUAUUCCGUGGCCAACCAUCUCAGGCUGAAAGCCUCAGCCUAAUGGGUUUACAACUGACAAUUUCUCAUUAGAUAUUGCCUCUUACACAGAUCACAGGUUAGGGUAUAUAUUCCAUGUCAGACUUUUCAAGGCCACCCUGAAGAUUGCCAGGGAAAGCUGUUUCUUGUACAUACAUUAAAAUUGUAAAAUGCAAAAACCUUUUAGUAAUAUUAGUAUUCUUGAGAGAAUAACAUAAAAUCCCACUUUUGUAUGUCCAAUAGGUUAUGAAAAGUAUCAACAAUUUAACAUGACCUUAUGGUGACAUUUAAUGAAGUGAGAUGAUUGGAUUAUUAUUUACAUUCAAGUUCUCUUUGUACACAUACAAUGGCUUGAAAAAUCAACCCCAAUAUGAAUGAAGAAAAGAUCCAUGGAAGGGUGAACCAAAGGGGGUUGGUUGUAUCUACACAGUAAAAAACAUACAUUUGGCUUUCUAUUCGUGCAUAUAUAUUCUGUGCUCAUAAACUGAGCUCAUAUCUCCCAUGGUCUUAAUAACUUAAAUAGAUAAAGUUUUGACCAGUUCAAAUCCAGGCUGAAACUCCCCCUAAAAGAGUCUUUAUCAACAGGAUCAUAUUGCCCUAUCAGAUUAGAAUGUUGUUUAAACAAGAGUAAAACUAGGUUAAAUGAGACCUAUUCUUAGUUUGAGGAACAGCACUUCAUGUAAGUCCAUCUUUCGUGAAGUAUUAGCUGCACUAUCUGCUGUACGGAAACUAUUCCACAAUGGGUGGGACCACAUUCACUGAACAAAAAUAUAAACACAACGUGUGUUGGUCCCAUGUUUCAUGAGCUGAAAUAAGAGAUCCCAGAAAUUGUCCAUGCGCACAAAGCUUAUUUCUCUCAAAUGUUGUGCACAGAUUUGUUUACAUCCC